UUUCUUCCUGAAUAGGAGGUCAGUGCCCAGAGAAGAAAGUGAGGCAUUGAGAGCUACGUCUCUAAACUUGGCAUUGAACCCAGUUCUGUCCAUGCUCACGAUGACUGUAAGAGAUGCUGCUCCUCUGGAAACAGCCCAGACUCCUUAGCAUGACAUUGCUACACCUCCCUCUGUGCAAUAUGUGAAUACACCAAGUACUUUCAUGUUUCCACGUUCACUUAUGCUUGUCCUUGCCCCCUACCCUGUUUGUGAAAUCCCUCCUCAUUCAUCAAGGCCUUCCUCAAAGGCCACAUCUUCUAGGAGACCUUCCUGUACAAAC
rnacentral:lncRNA from 1 species